CGGGACCUCGGGCCGCCAGCCCCUUCCACGUGCAGGCUCCUGCUGCUCUCGCGGGGGCUUUUCGUGUGUCCCCCGAGAUGUCGAGGAAGCCAGCAGCAUGAACAGACUGAGAUAGCGGCUUACAUGUAACCGGAAGCUGCAGAAAAACAUCUUCAGACAGCUGAGACGGCUCCCAGGACUCGUGCCUGGCACAGACACCAUCUGCCUGGCAGGGCAAAGAAAGGCGUCUGUGAGUGUGGGAGGAUUCCGAGUCUAACACCCUGAGCCCAGCCAGGAAGGGGCCAGGAAGGCCUCCUCGUGAACAACGAAUGAAACAGAUCCCAGAUCUCAGACAGGGCGGGGAAGGGGAGGGGUACCAUGUCAAGCAGCACUCUGUGUAAGUCGGCACCUGCGCACACUUGCAUGCAGACGUGUGUAUUGUGAGUGUAUGGACAUGUUAGAAAUGGAUGUGUGCAUGUGUCUGCAUGUGUUUGUGCAUUUAUGCACAGACACUACACGGGCAUGCACAUCAUGUACGUAUAUGUUUGCAUAUGUGCACGUGUGUGUACGUGCAUGUGUUCGUGUGUGCAUGCACACAGCAUGCGUGUGUGUGUAUACUUGCAUGCAUGCUAACAUAUGGUGGAGAAUAAAUAAUGAUCACCUCUCUGGAACUGGGGAAAGUAAGUGUUAAACAGAUUUUCGACAGGAAAUGCUGCUGCAAGGAAUUCGUCCGUAGGCUAGCACUACAACCUGGAGGCAGGGAGCAGUGAGGAGUGGAAGUCUUCCCAUCAGAAGUGAGGAAGGCUGGAUACGGUGGCUCACACCAGUAAUCCCAGCACUUUGGGAGGCAAAGGCAGGAGGAUCACUUGAGCCCAGGAGUUU
rnacentral:lncRNA from 1 species